rnacentral:ribozyme from 1 species
UGCCCAGCAACUCCUAUCCUUACCUCCUCGUGGUACCGGCCGGAAACUAUGAGCAACCUUAGGGAAGAUCGGGUAACCAACCCCGGUGGGAACUUUGGUCGUAGGCUGACAGGGAAGG